rnacentral:rRNA from 1 species
CUGCGUACCUUUUGUAUAAUGGGUCAGCGACUUAUAUUCUGUAGCAAGGUUAACCGAAUAGGGGAGCCGAAGGGAAACCGAGUCUUAACUGGGCGUUAAGUUGCAGGGUAUAGACCCGAAACCCGGUGAUCUAGCCAUGGGCAGGUUGAAGGUUGGGUAACACUAACUGGAGGACCGAACCGACUAAUGUUGAAAAAUUAGCGGAUGACUUGUGGCUGGGGGUGAAAGGCCAAUCAAACCGGGAGAUAGCUGGUUCUCCCCGAAAGCUAUUUAGGUAGCGCCUCGUGAAUUCAUCUCCGGGGGUAGAGCACUGUUUCGGCAAGGGGGUCAUCCCGACUUACCAACCCGAUGCAAACUGCGAAUACCGGAGAAUGUUAUCACGGGAGACACACGGCGGGUGCUAACGUCCGUCGUGAAGAGGGAAACAACCCAGACCGCCAGCUAAGGUCCCAAAGUCAUGGUUAAGUGGGAAACGAUGUGGGAAGGCCCAGACAGCCAGGAUGUUGGCUUAGAAGCAGCCAUCAUUUAAAGAAAGCGUAAUAGCUCACUGGUCGAGUCGGCCUGCGCGGAAGAUGUAACGGGGCUAAACCAU